rnacentral:rRNA from 1 species
GCAAGUCGAACGGUAGCGGGGAGAAAGCUUGCUUUCUCUGCCGACGAGUGGCGGACGGGUGAGUAAUGCUUGGGAAUCUGGCUUAUGAGGGGGGAUAACUACCGGAAACGGUAGCUAAUACCGCGUAAUGUCUAAGGACUAAAGGGUGGGACUUUCGGGCCACCUGCCAUAAGAUGAGCCCAAGUGGGAUUAGGUAGUUGGUGAGGUAAUGGCUCACCAAGCCCGCGAUCUCUAGCUGGUCUGAGAGGAUGACCAGCCACACUGGAACUGAGACACGGUCCAGACUCCUACGGGAGGCAGCAGUGGGGAAUAUUGCACAAUGGGGGGAACCCUGAUGCAGCCAUGCCGCCGUGAAUGAAGAAGGCCUUCGGGUUGUAAAGUUCUUUCGGUAGCGAGGAAGGCGGUUAGUUUAAUAGACUAAUCGAUUGACGUUAACUACAGAAGAAGCACCGGCUAACUCCGUGCCAGCAGCCGC